GAUAAAAAAAAAGUUUGAAAUGAAGCACCUUCUAGGAAUGGACCUUCUUGUUGCUGUUGCCGUCGCAUUGGCUGUGAUCAUCAUGGCUCCUAACGAAGCGGUCGCUCUGGGUGAUGGCAUCGGAGGCAUUAGUUCAAUUGGUUUGCGCAAGAAGUGAACGACUGCUGAAAAUGAAUUAAGCUCUGGUCAUUGGUGCUGGCUAUUGAGUCGCUUUUCAAUUGCAAUAAAGCUUUAAUACGUGAGAA